rnacentral:rRNA from 1 species
GAGUUUGAUCAUGGCUCAGAUUGAACGCUGGCGGCAGGCCUAACACAUGCAAGUCGAGCGGCAGCGCGGGGGCAACCUGGCGGCGAGCGGCGGACGGGUGAGUAACGCGUAGGAAUCUACCCAGUAGCGGGGGAUAGCCCGGGGAAACUCGGAUUAAUACCGCAUACGCCCUAAGGGGGAAAGCAGGGGAUCUUCGGACCUUGCACUAUUGGCAGAGCCUGCGUUGGAUUAGCUAGUUGGUAGGGUAAAGGCCUACCAAGGCGACGAUCCAUAACUGGUCUGAGAGGAUGAUCAGUCACACCGGAACUGAGACACGGUCCGGACUCCUACGGGAGGCAGCAGUGGGGAAUAUUGGACAAUGGGGGGCAACCCUGAUCCAGCCAUGCCGCGUGUGUGAAGAAGGCCUUCGGUU